UACGGAGGGUGCAAACGUUGCUCGGAAUCAUUGGGCGUAAAGAGCGUGUAGGCGGUUCGGUAAGUCUGUCGUGAAAUCCUGAGGCUCAACCUUGGACGUGCGAUGGAUACUGCCGGGCUAGAGGAUGGUAGAGGCGAGUGGAAUUCCCGGUGUAGCGGUGAAAAUGCGCAGAUAUCAGGAGGAACACCAAUGGCGAAAGGCAGCUCGCUGGGGACGUGACUGACGCUGAGACGCGAAAAGCGUGGGGGAGCAAAACAGGG
rnacentral:rRNA from 1 species